UCAGCGUUAAAGUGGCUUUUAGCUAUGGCCUAGUGUGUGUGUUUAUUGAGGCCUGACUACAUCCACAUGGAAACGGCAUCACCAGGGCAAUAGUGCAUGAGCUACAGUCAGCGGAUUUGUGAGCAAGCCUGCUUUUUUGCUCACUUUCUCUUGUUUUGUGCUUGCUUUGUAGGCAGUGACAUCUUGAAGCAGACAAACAGACGUGGCUGAAACGGUCUGAUCAUUGGUCUGCAGCAAGUCCACAAAGGCAUUAUUACAUGAACUCUGUUAUUUGGAUGCAGACCUCUACGGAGGGGAUUUCUCUGUACAGUGACCAAGGGAAACCAAGGAAAGGCCCUUGGAAAGACGGACUGUGUACAUUUCUUUACUAAGUGCGCUGCAAUUCUACAGCAAAACCUGUUCACCAUUGUGUAAAUACAAAUUCACUGUAAAUAAACGUGCACUAACGUGCUAAACCCA